UAUAAGCCAAGCUAAAAAAAAGAAUUGUGAAAGCCAAAUAAAUAAAAAAUAAUUGAAACAAAUAUACAGACUUGCAAAACAAAUGCAAAUCUGGCAUUUAAAUUUGUAAAUAUUUUCGCCUGGUUGCUUUCUUCAUAUCCUGCUGCUUCUCGGCUGCCUUUGUUAUACUUUUUAUGACUAUGUACAUAAGUUAAUCGCACUGUGUAGUCCGCAGUGUACAAGUACGAGCUCUCUUAUGGCUUAUAAAAGCAAAUUUUUGUUUAAAUAUUUAAAUUUAUUCACAAAAAGUGCACCACAUACACUCUAUAUACGAAAUUUUGUAAGUUUUUGUUUGAGCGCCUAAGAGUAUGCUACAGUUAAGCAUAUGUACAGCUAGAAAACACAUUUCAGCGCAGAAAAUAUUGUGCCGCUGCACUACUAUUUAGGCGAUAUGUUGUACUUACAGUCACAGUAGCUUCGUUGUGUACAGUCACAUCAGCUUCGGCGUACCACAUGCGAUGCACUUUAACCGAGUUUACUUCUCAAGCACUUAUACAGUGAAAUACUAUAAAGUUAGUGACACACAUGCGAAACUCACUCGUUUUGCUAGCUGCUGUCAAUCAGUCGUCGCUUAACAUGCUCUUCUUCCAGUAUUUCUAACGCAUACUACAACUACAAACAUAUAUGUAAGUGUGUCCGUAAAGCCCUUCCAUGCACUAGUAUGUGUAAUGGUUCUUUAGAUUGCUCUUUGGUAUGGCCAAUAGCCAAAAACUAACUGCCAAAAAAAGUUGUUUAUUCAGUCGCUCGUUCGCAGUAAAUGUUCGUUUAGCACAGAUAAGUGAAUGGUUAGUUUUUGAGGCUGCAACCCUAAAUGUAGGCAAUGAUAUUUUUAUGCUGACUCAAAUUUCGAACGUACGAAAAGUAAAGCGAAAAGAAAAAAAAUUGCACAAAGCGAAAGUGAAAUGGGUGAAGACUACAUACAUUCGCAUACAUUUUUGCUUAUAUGUAAGCUCUCUUUCACUUCCCUUUCUCUUUGUAUGCUCAUGUGUUCGGCUGCUGAGUCUCCGGCCCUUGCUGAUUGCUGCCAUUUCCGCAGCGUAUAAUGGAAUUAAGCAGAGCAUAGAAUUACAUAGAAAAAGUUGAAGCGCAAAUUUGUCGAGAAUCCUUUAAUACGUAUGUAUCUACGCAAAAGCGGAAGUUUGUUGUGUGCUGUGGAAAGAGUAUUCCUGCCUUUCAUUAAAGUUUCGUACAGCCUAAGGCCCAACAGUGUUAAAUUAAAUAUCCGCUUUUGCAUAAUACUUGCUGGCGCUUGUAAUCUCUAAGCAAUUUCUAAAAUUUGUAGUACUUUUGUGUUGUUUGCUGGCUGCGUAGUCUAUUUUUGCAAAUUCGGUUAUAUUUGUCAAAGUGAAAGCGAAAGCGCACACAAAUAAUCUGGCUUACAGCAAUCAGUUGAAACUCUGUUAUAAUCAGACGGUAGCUUGUGUCGAAAAUUCGGUCGUGUCCUAAUUUUCGAAUUGAAAAAGAGCUUUGAGGUUAUAUGUCUAAGUUGAAACAGCGUGAAGAGUCGGUACGUCAGCGGCUGUUUGUCCACAGCUUAAAAACAGAACAUAAAGCUUUAUUAAAUGGACAUUUUACGAGUUCCGAUAGCGUACAACUUCUUAUAACAGUAUUAUACAAUACGCGCUUAAAGGUAUGCUUCGAAAUACUGAUAAUUGCUGGAAUCGAGAAUUCUAAUAGUACUAGAAGACACUGCAGAAAGGAUUAUUGAACUUGGAUAAUUUCAAAUGCAUUGGUUAGUAAUUAUAAAGCCUUUUCAUUGCUCAUCCAACAAUUUGAUCGACCUUGAAAGUGAAAAUUACAUUUAUAGUCUAUAUAUGUAUCAGUGGCUUGUAGAAUAUGAGUAUAGAAAUUCAUUAAAAUAAUGAAUUUUUGAUUUACUUAAAAUGAAACCGAAUGACUUGCCUUUACUUAAAUCUGAGAUAUGCAAGUCACUUUGUGGCAUCUUUGAUGACAAUCAUUGUACUUACGUGGGAAGUGUAGGUUAAUAUUUCUGCCAAAUCACGACAGUAAUGCUAUUUAUCUGAACUUUUGAAAGCAAAUUUCCCCCAAAAGGGUUGUUGCGGUACGGAAGAGCACAAAUGCAUACAUUAAAGUUAAAAUAUAUUGCUUUGUAAUCAUCGUGCUAAGCAAUUUCUUGGAAGUUUUCCGGGGAAAUAUUGGAGGAUUUGAAGGUUAAUUUAUUUUAAGAGCCUAAAGUCAGGCGCAGGUUACUUAGAUUGCAGUUGGACGAGCUUUCCAACAAAUACAAAACUGAUCAAGUGGUGCGGGUAGCAAUACUUUUAAAUAACUAAAUUCACAUAAGCUCUUUAAAAAAUGGUUCUUAUGAAAAAUGCUUUGAAAAUAACUGGCAACCAAACUACAAUGACAGCAUAAAUUUAGGCGUAAACCCAGAAUAUUUGUGUUGUCUUUAAUGAUUGUAUUUAUGCGUCGCCUACUGUUACUCUACCUUACUUCUUGAUAUGAAAAUUCAAGUUAUAUAUCGCAUACUUUUAGGCGCUAAACUAAUUUUUAUCUUUGCUAAAUAUAAAGCUUCAGUUGUGAUAGUUCCGUUAAUCAAACCUCAAAACAAAGUAAAUCACAAGCACAUCUGUUAAAAUUACUCUUUAAAUUACCAAAACUAACGAUUUUAUUAAUUUUUAUUGUAUACUUUUUGGCGAAAUGUGUUGAUUUCAUUUUCUGGUGUACAAAAUAUAAUACUGUUACGCUUUCUAACAACAUCCAACAUUUUGUGAGUUCACACUUUCAAAUUUAACUAAAAACUUUACCACUUUACGCAUUUGGCAACACUGACAAGCAGUAAAACUUUCCUCGGUAAUCGAAUUUGCUUGAAGUUGCAGUAAAUUGCUGUAGCAGCAUUUGUACCUUAGUUUGCUAUAUAUUCACACAAAUAUGGUAUAACCAAAAGCAUAUCUAAACACAGUUGUAACACAAUAAACCGAACUAGUUACUAAAAUAUUUGCAUCCUAAAGAUAUGCUUCACUUUAUCUAAUAACUACUGUGCACAACAUUUCAAAUAUCCACUCAAUACUUCACCGCAAGUGUUAAAACUGCUUCGAAAGCUGAAAGAUUUUUGACUGCCAGCCAGUUUUUUUUAUUUCGUCUGUCUUCAAAAUUCAAUUUGUUGAAUCACCAAAAAUUGGUUUAACACUUGUGGCGAGUCUUUAAUUGACAGGUAAUUAAGUUGACGACUGUGCACUGCUUGUGUGGCAAGUAAAUUUCUGGGAAGCUUCUUUGCUUUACUUAAAAUAUCAGGUUUGUUUCGAACGCCCUGAGGUAUGCUUCAGAAUUUAUACUUUGUAUAUUUUUUUGAAGCUCGCAUGUGCACGUUUGCUCCUCGGCUUCGCUGUUUGUGUUUCGCUGCUACGAGUAUAAAUUAUCUCCAGCAACGCUUUUGCUCUCUAAUGAAAUUGUAAUUUCGUUGUUUUACGCCCAAAAGCAAUCUAUGUAAUUUUCUAUGAAUUAACGCUCGCUGAGCAAUUCCCGGUUCUGAACUUAUUUGGAGGUUGUGUAUACUCUAGUUUCUUCCUUUGCUGUAAACUCAACACAAAAGCGCGCUAACGCCCUCUGCUCUUGUUGAAUUUCAAAUUUCCUUUAAUUAGUGGUUGAUUGCGAGACUUUCCAUUUCAGAGGUGAGAGAGGCGAAAUUAUGUCUAAUAAAAAUUCAAUUUCCUUUCGAGUUAUGCUGGAUUUUUGAAUUUGUGAAACGUGUGCCUUCUGGAAGAAGAUGAUUGAAUAUAAGUCUUAAAAAAGUAGUAUAUUUACUUGUACACCAGAAAUUUAACAGAUUUUUUGUGAUCUACAUAUUAUCUCAACGAUUUCGUGUUAAUAUAAAAAUUAUCUUUUAUCAACAAAUUCCUGGUUUUUUGCAUUAUGCCCACGUUUUUACUCGUCGCAUAGGCAAACAUGACUUUAAUUUACUCAAUUUUUUCCACUAAUCCACAUAAUUUAGCUUUGCACAAAUAUUUGCAAUUUGAAUAUAAUUAAGCUGGAAAACGCACUACAUUAUAUUAAAGCCAGGCGCCACCACUUUUCAAUGCUAAAAUCGUAUUAUAAAUAAUAUUUUUGAGUUUUACAAGCUUAAUUACUUUGCUUUGAACAAAUAUUUACAAAACUAUCUACGUGUAAUGCACAGUUAUUUAUGUAUUUCAAAACAGCUGUAAAAACAAUAUUGAAAUCAGCACAGAUUCGCUAAUAAAAUAUUCACUAAUUUAAUUUAGCGAAAUGAGUAGGAAAUUCAUUUAAAAUACGCGCUUGGGCCCGAACUUUCUAGCUCUUUGUUGUUGUUUAUUCUAAAAAAUUUAAUUUGUUUAAAAAUAAAUAAUUGACAGCAAAUCAGUGCCAAAAUUACUAAAUAAAUAAAGCUAAAUACGAUUCGUUUAACAAAUGCGCCUGAAAGUAUAUUACAAUAAUUGGUGUUAUUUUUUUUUUGAAAAAUUUCAAUUGGUAUAUUAAGUUUACUAAAAAUGUAUGCUGUAUUUAGAAUAUCUCUUUACUAUAUUGUACAAUUAAGUUGAAAAUUUUGAAGUAAAAGUUGUACUACGCCUAAAUGUAGGCCACAUUUUUCAGCAAAUGUAAGUAUACAUAAAUGUCCUUAAUUUUACACCGUUAAUUUCACUUUGAUACCAAAUUUUUAGUUUGUUUGUUGCUUUUGUAGUGUUUUUUUUCGCAAAUUCUUGGCAAAUUUUCACAUAUUUUCGCAAGGCGCUGCACGAGCACACAGUGCAAUAACAGCAAAUGCUUUUUGUUGUAUAAUUUUAGGCUUGAUUUUUCAGCAGCAACGUUAUUGAAAGCAUACUAAUAGCAAAAAACGCACAAAAUGCUUUAAUUUAAUGUGAAAGUGUAAAGAUUUUAAAUAAACCAAAGAAUAACUACAACACAAACAACAAUAAUAACAACAACAACAAAAUACGAAUAUUUUAGAAAACGAUUACGCUUCGUUUUCGCCAGCAAUCUGUGCUAGUAUAUUAGUGUUCGUGUGUGUGUGUGCGUGUCGCUUAGUUGUGGCUUGUGGCGUAAAAUGCCGCUCUGUGCCACCACAUUCUUAUGAUGGAGACAUUCCUUGUCCUUGGGUUAUGUUUCAUAAUAUACGAAGCACUGGAUUUCUUUCAAGGAUGCCUGCAUAGCACCUCACCGAAUUCGACCGAUCAAAUCGAGGCCUAUCGCCGCCAAUUGGACGAGCAGCGACAACAGCUGCAGCAAGAGCAAUUCAUAGCGAAUCUAACGCCGCUCUUGGGCGCUCAAUUGUUGGCUGCCACCUCGAGUGUUUCGUUGACGCCCAGCGAGUCGACCGCGAGCAUCAUAAGUGAACAGUUACGCGCGCAGCAACAGCGUGAACAACUUGUGCAGCAAUUAGAGGGCAGCAUACGCAGUGGUAGCACCACCAGCGGCGGCGCACCCAGCAACGUCGGCGAUAAUUCGUUGAGCACGCCCGCCUUGCAUAGCAGCGGUUUGGGCAGCACUUUCGGCUCGGCCGUCGGCAGCGGGAGCUUGAGUGUGGCCAGCGGUAAUAGCAGCGGCGCCGCCUUUCGUCCCGCCUAUCGCAGCGCUUACGAAUCGCAAGAGUUGUACGCGACCUCCUCACUACCGCGCGACUACUACUUUCUGCAACAGCAACAACAGAAGAAUAAGCAUUCGGCACGCUCGUUAUUCUCGAAAUUCGGCGCUUCUAACUCGGAUAACCGCAUCUUUCCCGAGACCACAGCGGUGCUGGGCGUGCCUGCGGGUGUGAUUACUCAGCAGCCAGCGGCGAGUGUAAACCAUUUUGAGUGCUUACCGCCGGCGACGGUGCCUGCCUCACCUUUGGCUUUCGACUUGAAGCGCGCCAUCUUGAGCAACAACAAUAAAAAUAGAAACAGCAAUAACAACAAAACAUACAACGAGAGAAGACGCACCGCGUCUGCUGUGGAGAGUGUGCUGGUACAUGGUGUAGCAGUAAUUGCAAGUCCGUCGCGUGAUCCACCAAAUCCUAUAGCAACAACAACCACAACGGUUAAGCGCGCAAAUCUGCGCAAUCGUAACGCAAACGCUGCGCUUACGUCGUCUGGCCACGACAGUGACGGCAGUACAUCCGAUUGUGAAUCGGAUACGAGCGUUGAUUCGUCCGACUCGUCGGCAUCCGCUUCGGCCGGUUCCGCGUCGUUAGCCUCGUGCGGUGAGGACAGUGAUCCCGGUUUGGGUGAGGAACGUGAGUUCGGUUUGUCCAAUUCGUGUUCAUCGUCGCAUGCGGACUUUCGUGAAAUCGAAUGUGAGCGCCUAAGGCGCAAGUGUGUGAGCGUGAAACGCAUCUAUAGUAUAUCGGAGAAGUUUUGAAGAACCACGAAAAACAAGUGCAAGUGAAAAAUAAAAGGAAAAACAAUUUUGGAAAAGAAAUGAACUAAAUCCACAAAAAUCCACGAAAAUCAAUACAAAAUAAACAAUAAUGAGAAAAGACAUCAAUGAAAUCAAAAUAAAUACUUAUGUACA